CUAAAAUUUAAAUAGGAACUUGAACGAGAGUAAAUAUUUUGACAAUUCCUGGCAUAUGCAAUUCAUUCUUACAGGGUCAUUGUUCUUUUAUUUAGAGGAAACCGGAGCUAAUAAUUGUCACAUUUACUACAAAUAUUUUUUAAUAGGCAUACUACGGUCUUUUUAUGUUUAGUUCAAUAAGGAGCAAUUAAAGUUCCAUUUUCAUCCAUCCAUCCACCAUUCAACAUACGCGGAAUAUUUAUACCACCACCAACCCCAGUUAGCACGUUUUAUCUUAUUGGAAAAAAAUUAUAUCGCAAAUAGUGAAUAGGUUGUAUAAUAUUAUUACACCCCCAUGUUAUCGACACUCACUUUUCCCACUUCCUAAAAACUUUCUGUUAGGCAGAGAGUAAAAUAUAAAGGCAGCAAAUGAAAGUGGAGGAGGUGAAUAUCCAAAAACCAAAAUACAACCAGAAUUUAAGAGUUUUAAUUAGCAAACUAAUUGAUGAAUAAUUAAUUAAAUAAGCUAACAUGACCAAAAGCUGGAAUUGUAAUGUUUAUUUCCAAAUCCACCAGUUUAAUAAUUUAACGGUAAAAUCGACAAACCAAGCAACGCCAAGUUCGGUUCAACUGGGGCAAAAAGGGCGUUCGGUUCAGUGAAAAUUUCUAAAAAAACAUAUGUACAACUUGUUGCGGCUGGAAAAACGUCAGCAUACAGUUGAAUCAGUAAUAGGAACUUUUAAAGUUUAAAUAAUUCAUUACGUGAACAAUUUCCAUGUUCCCAUGACACGAUCCAUUUGAAACCGUUGGCCUGUAAAUAGGGACGGGUUUUUCAGGUUGAUUUUUUAAAUAACGCCUUUUUUUAAUUUAUUUGUUCCUUAAUAAAAGUUUAUAUUGGGGAAUCCGGCAUUAAUCAUUGAUUAAUUGGGUUCAAGCGUUUAUCAGUAGCAGUUCGAAUCGCAGUUUUUCCAUCAAAGAUGUAAAGAAAUGAAAAAUCAUACGUGUGCAGCUAAAAGCAUUUUGCAACGCUUGUUUUAGCCAAUCAAAGCUGCAUUAUUUUGACACACUUGUUUACAACCAUUGAAAAGCAUUGAUCACGUCAAGAGGAAAGUUAUCAUCGAAACUUUGCACUUGCAGUUAAUCUUGAUCGUUUGUAAAUCAUUGGUGAAAAAUCAGCUCGUGCUGUUAAUACGAUUAAAGCUGCGGGACUCAAAAAGCCAAUGCACCAGGAUUAUUGUAAAUUGUUACCCGAAUAAAAUUACUAUUGUUCAUUAAACAUGUAAUAGGUUUUGCCACAAUUUUCCAGGCUAUCUGGCAUAGGCUGGCCUCUAAGAUUUAAAAAUUUACUGGGAUUAAAUGAAAACAAACUUAAUUUUUUACAGAGAUAACACACAAUAUUUGUAAUCUAAAACUAACACAAACCAGUUUCAGUUGUGCCGUUUUCUUCGUCCUCAGUCGUAAAUAUCUCAUCUUUACUGAAAUUGGCUUAUUUCAAUUACUUUCAUGCUUUUAUCUGUUUAGUCCAGCUUUCGCAAUUUAUUCCUAUUGAAUACCUGAAAGAACUCGAAAUUACGAGGUAUUUUUGUGAAAAUUGUGAACUUUUUCAGAUAUGGUGGAAGGAGAAGGAACAGUCAUUACGAGUCUCGAAAAUGCAGUUUCUUCAGUGUUGCAAAAUACCAUUGAAACAAAAAUUUUAACGCGUUUGAGCUCGCCUUUGCCAUUCCUCUUCCCAUAAUUUACAUCUUCGCCUCUGGUUCUCUAAACCUAAGUUUUUGGAGAUCAGGAGGUCAUCCUGGUCAAACUCCCAUUAUUCAAACUUUGGUUCUUUUGUAAUGAGCGGGUAAACCACAUGGUUAGUCAAACCAUGAAUUGCAAAGUUGAAGGCUGCAUAAACUGGUGCGAAAGCAUUUGCAGAUAAUUCAACAACAUCUAAAACUCUCAGACUCAUUUAUCUCCAGACAAAAUUUUAAAGGCUGAAACCACUUAAAUUAUUGGUAGUUUACUCCUAAGAAACCUCUGUAGCAUUCCAAUGAUGGAUGCAUUUAAAUUUACAGCAGAAGGAACGGAGCAAAGUUUUCACGACCUAUAAGCCAUGGGCCAGGCCAUUGAAAUUGCUUCCUAACGUUUCGUUUACAUCUGCGAUGAACAUUAUCGAAGGUUUAUGUCAGUAGAGGAUGAAGGAAUUAUAAGAGUAAGUACUAUUUCAAGAAUAUUCCCUAUGUUUUCAAUCCCCAUGAGGUUGAGAAAGAAGACAAGCCAAAGACACAGCGAGUGAUUAAUAAAAUUAUUUAUUUUGUAAUUUGUUAUGUAUAUAAAUAGCUUAAAGCAUU